rnacentral:rRNA from 1 species
UACGGGGGGGGGGCAAGCGUUGUUCGGAAUUACUGGGCGUAAAGGGCGCGUAGGCGGUCAGCACAAGUCAGUUGUGAAAUCUCCGGGCUUAACUCGGAAAGGUCAACUGAUACUGUGCGACUAGAGUGCAGAAGGGGCAACUGGAAUUCUCGGUGUAGCGGUGAGAUGCGUAGAUAUCGAGAGGAACACCUGCGGCGAAGGCGGGUUGCUGGGCUGACACUGACGCUGAUGCGCGAAAGCCAGGGGAGCGAACGGG